GAUGAACGCUAGCGGGAGGCCUAACACAUGCAAGCCGAGCGGUAGAGUUUCUUCGGAAACUUGAGAGCGGCGCACGGGUGCGUAACACGUGUGCAACCUACCUUUAUCUGGGGGAUAGCCUUUCGAAAGGAAGAUUAAUACCCCAUAAUAUAAUGAUUGGCAUCAAUUAUUAUUGAAAACUCCGGUGGAUAGAGAUGGGCACGCGCAAGAUUAGAUAGUUGGUGAGGUAACGGCUCACCAAGUAAAUGAUCUUUAGGGGUCCUGAGAGGGAGAUCCCCCACACUGGUACUGAGACACGGACCAGACUGCUACGGGAGGCAGCAGUGAGGAAGAUUGGACAAUGGGUGAGAGCCUGAUCCAGCCAUCCCGCGUGAAGGAUGACGGUCCUAUGGAUUGUAAACUUCUUUUGUACAGGGAUAAACCUACCCUCGGGAGGGUAGCUGAAGGUACUGUACGAAUAAGCACCGGCUAACUCCGUG
rnacentral:rRNA from 1 species